UCACAGUUUUAUUUGUUUAUUUUGGCUACAUUGCGCCAAUUGCGCUUCCAUAGAAUAAAGAAACGCGCUUCCACGCGCUUGCCGACUCGAUCGCAAGGGGACAGCCUGAUCAACAUCAACAUCAGCAGCAAUGGCGGAUUUGCGCUUGCCAUGGCGCUUGCAAAGUUUUCAAUAGUUUUCGACUAUUACGUGAUGCUUUUGCUAUUUUAACGUGUGGAGGUUCAUUGUACGUCUGUUUUUUCAAGUUUGGCAUGUGUUUUAACACAUGUGAAGGUGUAGACUUUUCUUCUUCAGCGGAUAUUUGUACAAGACCCCGUUCACCGUCUAUCAGCUCUAGCUCGGCAAGAAUAAAGCGGUUCCUUAGAAGUGGUGGAGGUGCUGGGGUUCUGCAUACCAAGGACGUAUAAGGUAACAGUGUUUGUGCCUUUUAUAUGUCUCAUUAGAUCAUUUUGAGACGUGGUGGUGUUCAUGCGCUAGCACAGUGCAAGGACAUCCACAAUGUAAGAGGUACAUGAUUCUCGAAUUGUAUACUCUCUCUGGGCUUUUCUCACGAUUUCAGCACAAGUAGUGGGAGCAUCAAAAAACUGACAAAGCUGGUGCAUGAAUGUUGCCCAGUGUUGGCGUUCCUUGGUGUUGAAAUUAUCCUUCCUUUCUCUAAAUCCAAGGGCGAGAUCUUGCAUUCUGAAUGUUUGCUUGCGCUCUCAUUAUUCGCCUUCACCAUGCUUUCGUCAGCGGUCGUCUGCUUGGUGAAGUGGGAGUGCCUAUUGAACACUGCCUACUCACUGAUGUAGAAGGUGAAGCAAACAGUCAGAAAGCUAGAAGCUUGCCCAAUCUCAUCCCAGGUUUUUAAUCCAGUUUGACAUUGAAGCAUCCUGGUAGUAUUAAAGUACUUUAGAAAGAGGUUCCAGAAGCAUUGCCAAGUUUGCCACUUGGUGAAAUUUGUAGUUUGGAAACAAUUUAGGCUCUUAGCAAGAUUAGUAGUGAACAGAGGUUUUCACAUGGCGAUUGGUGUUGUCCAAAUGCAUGAAGAGGUCACAGUACGAGUACUUAAGCUGAUAGUGUUGGGUAACCAUAAGCACCAGCAGGGGCCCCGUAACAGUGUCCCCUUUAACUUCAGAUAUGCUUCACUGCAUGAUGCUAAAUAUGCUUCGCCGCAUAACACGACUCUGCUGCAGUGAAGGUGACUUAAACCGACAACAGCCGAGAAGGUGCAAUCAGCACUGCGCUGCCUGGUUCUUGCUGUUGGCCUUUUCUUCUUUUCACAGUGUCCUUACUGUAAGUGCACUCCAGAGUUACAAUGCAGGAAUAUGCAUGUGUGCAUAAGCUUUCAUUCAAGAGUAACUCAUGAUCAUAAGUUACGUCAUUAUGGUUUCGUACCAUGUCACAGCAUCAUAAGUGAGACUUAAUAAAGAAGCCCUCAAAGUUUGCGGGAGAGACUAAUCUUUUGUGCGAGAUUGUGCUAUCCUUGCUGCACGCAGUGCAAUAUUAUGACUCUCAUGUCUAUGGUGGCAUUGUCGAUUAUGAAUGUUUCCUUACUGCGUUAAAAAAAUGUGAGCGCAUCUUUCAGAUAAUAAUGGCAUUAUAGCUUCAGAGUUGUUCAAGUUUGGGGUACUUGUUCACUAAAAGUACAUUAUCAGAAAAGCUUUAGAAUGUCUAGGUCAUAAUUGCAUUUGAAGAACUAAGUCUUCCUACACAUAGCAAUUGGUAGCUUACUGUGUAAUGUUGAAGGUGGUUUUUAUUCAUAGGCCCUACGCAGAGAGCAGCAACACAAUGCCUGGCAUGUGACCAGGGUUCAUCACAGUGUUUGCAUUUCCAGUGCUCGUAACUGAUUCCAAGCAUAAAUUUGCUUUAUGAAUUCUUUGUAGACAGAAGGUGCUUGCAUAUUGGUUGCAUGAAAUGCUCCAAUGCACACUGUAUAUGUACAGGGUGUCUUUUAUUACCAUACAGAUUUUCUUGUUUUAAAGUUAUGAGUGCAGCAAAUGUGGCAUUCUUGCAGAGGAAUUCCUCUAUUUUGAAACUCCACAAAUUUGGAGGCAGUCACAUUUUAUAGCACUCUCAUUUCUUACAAAUCUUGAAAGUUGCACCUAAUUCAAGAUAUUCAUCAUUGAAUUUCACUGGUAAAUCGAGGCAAUAUUGGAACCGAGUGUGCUGGGAGCGCAGAAAAGAAGGUCCCGCUACCUCAUCAGAUGGAAACACCCCCGACAACAGGCUCGAGAAAGUCUGAAACAACAUCUUGGCCAGUCAUUGUAGCAGCUGAUACGACACACUUUGCCUGGCAAGCAUGUGCAUCAGUGUGCCGUGUCAGGCUAUCAUUUAAGCUUUGUCCCACACUUCUUGACAGGGCACUGCCACCUGAUGUGGAGCAGGAUGCACCAAGUUUUGAUUGUACUCAAUUGAGCGCGAUGAAUAUGUCCUUGCAUUUGCUAUAGCAAGGAUUUUUAAAAAUCAGCCACAAAAGAAAAAAAAUAAAUGGUCAAGGAACGAAGUGGUGUGUAGCAGCUCCCUUUUUUUUUAAUCGGCAGCAAGUUUUGCACUCGUGUGUUAGGAACAGUUUCGCCAGUUGUGUACUUCAAAAGAAGUGUUACCUUUCUGCUUUGGAACUUUGUGGUUUUGUUCUGCCAGCUGCUUGACCAACACAAGCAAAAUGUACUUUGGAUAUUCCACAAAUUCAUUCUGUAUGCAUUUGGUACAAUAAAAUUUGUUUCAAGAAUGGACAAA